rnacentral:rRNA from 1 species
GUUUGCCUACGGGGGGCAGCAGUAGGGAAUAUUGCUCAAUGGGGGAAACCCUGAAGCAGCAACGCCGCGUGGAGGAUGAAGGUUUUAGGAUUGUAAACUCCUUUUGUGAGAGAAGAUAAUGACGGUAUCUCACGAAUAAGCACCGGCUAACUCCGUGCCAGCAGCCGCGGUGAUACGUAGGUGGCAAGCGUUGUCCGGAUUUACUGGGUGUAAAGGGCGUGUAGCCGGGUUGACAAGUCAGAUGUGAAAUCCUGCGGCUUAACCGCAGAACUGCAUUUGAAACUGUUGAUCUUGAGUACUGGAGA